AAGCAGCUAGCUAUCUAACGUUAGGUUCCGUGUUUUAAGCUUGCUACAUAAAUAUAUACACAAGCCUAUUAGCAACAUUUUGACUGACUUGAGAUCAUUGCCCUUGCUAGUUCGAUUGUAUUGACAUUCUCAGCGUUAGUUACAUUUGUCCGUUUUUGACCAGAAUAUUGAGUCAUUGAAACUGAAACAGCGCAUUCAGAAUGGAGGCAGCAAACAAGGAGGACAGCCCCUGCUUCUACGUCACUGGCAUCGGUGUACAAAGCAAAUGGCCGACGGAAAUCCGGAGCUUCUAGCACCGGUGCAGAGACCAAAGGGUCUGCAUUUCGUAACCUGAUCAGAAGACGAAGGAGUUCAAAAAUGUCCACCUCCACUUUGCCCAUCACAGAGAGGUUACUAACACGGUUGAUGCCCUCUUUGGCCAGGGUGAUAGCCAGGCGCUCACCACGACUGCACUCCAUCGGGUCAUCCAGAACAGCAGCUACAAGACACAGGGUGUGUUACGGUUCUGCCAUUUUGAGGACUAUGCCUAGGGUUGCAAAGUUUUGGUAACUUUCCCCAAAUUCCCUGUUUUCCAGAAAUUCCAGUUGGAAUAUUCCUGGAAUCAGGAGGGAAUAAGGAAUCCUCCAACCAGGUUACCAGCUUUUUAAACCCUAACUAUGCCAUCAAUGCCAUAGCCUGGUGCCAGAUCAGUUUCUGCUGUAUAGCCAACUCCUAUGGCCACUGGGAAAAUAUUUUGCAAUGAGCGGAUUUUUAUUUUGUUGAUGAACAUCUUUUUGGGGUGAAUUUCUCCCAAGCAUGAUCAGUGAGUAGACCUUUUUAUUGCUAUAUUUCUAUGGCACAGGCUGUAUUUCAAAGGCAAAAUAGCACAGAUCUGUGCAAAAUAUACUGUCAAAAUUAUAACAAUCUGCAGCAUGAUUUAAUCAAUUUUCAACAACAAUGUGCAUUAAAAUGAGGUGGUUUUUUAAUCACGAAACGAUGCAUGCAACACACACAAUGCAUUUGUGAGUUGCAGUAUUUGGAACUCACAAUGGAUAUUAAUAUCUUCCCGCCUAUGUGAAAUAUUGGUUAUUUUGCUCACUGCUGUUUGCUCAUGUAAAAUGUCCCCCAUUAUGCAUUUUCUCUAGAGGCAAAGCAGAGAGACAGACUGCAGAGAGACAGACUGCAGUUGUCUGUGAUAAAAAGUUUAUUAUGUUAAAUGUCAUGGGUUUUCUCUCUUUCCCCAAAUGUCAUGUACUGAAUAUGAAAU